rnacentral:rRNA from 1 species
ACAAGGGAGCUUGCUCCUGAGGUGUCGAGCGGCGGACGGGUGAGUAAUGCCUAGGUAUCUGCCCAGUCGAGGGGGAUAACAGUUGGAAACGACUGCUAAUACCGCAUACGCCCUACGGGGGAAAGGAGGGGACCUUCGGGCCUUUCGCGAUUGGAUGAACCUAGGUGGGAUUAGCUAGUAGGUGGGGUAAUGGCUCACCUAGGCAACGAUCCCUAGCUGGUCUGAGAGGAUGAUCAGCCACACUGGAACUGAGACACGGUCCAGACUCCUACGGGAGGCAGCAGUGGGGAAUAUUGCACAAUGGGCGAAAGCCUGAUGCAGCCAUGCCGCGUGUAUGAAGAAGGCCUUCGGGUUGUAAAGUACUUUCAGCGAGGAGGAAAGGUAAGUAGUUAAUAACUGCUUACUGUGACGUUACUCGCAGAAGAAGCACCGGCUAACUUCGUGCCAGCAGCCGCGGUAAUACGAGGGGUGCAAGCGUUAAUCGGAAUUACUGGGCGUAAAGCGUACGCAGGCGGUUUGUUAAGCAAGAUGUGAAAGCCCCGGGCUCAACCUGGGAACUGCAUUUUGAACUGGCAAACUAGAGUCUUGUAGAGGGGGGGUAGAAUUUC